UACGGAGGAUGCGAGCGUUAUCCGGAUUCAUUGGGUUUAAAGGGUGCGUAGGCGGACUAUUAAGUCAGUGGUGAAAUCCUCCCGCUUAACGGGAGAACUGCCAUUGAUACUGAUAGCCUUGAGUUUGGUUAAGGUAGGCGGAAUGUGUAAUGUAGCGGUGAAAUGCUUAGAUAUUACACAGAACACCAAUUGCGUAGGCAGCUUACUGGACCGACACUGACGCUGAGGCACGAAAGCGUGGGGAUCGAACAGGAUUAGAUACCCUGGUAGUCCACGCCGUAAACGAUGAUUACUCGCUGUUGGCGAUACACAGUCAGCGGCUAAGCAAAAGCAAUAAGUAAUCCACCUGGGGAGUACGGCCGCAAGGUUGAG
rnacentral:rRNA from 1 species